UACGUAGGGUGCGAGCGUUAAUCGGAAUUACUGGGCGUAAAGCGUGCGCAGGCGGUUUUGUAAGCCAGAUGUGAAAUCCCCGGGCUUAACCUGGGAAUGGCAUUUGGGACUGCAAGGCUUGAGUUUGGCAGAGGAGACUGGAAUUCCUGGUGUAGCAGUGAAAUGCGUAGAGAUGUGGAGGAACACCGAUGGCGAAGGCAGGUCUCUGGGCCACUACUGACGCUGAGAAGCGAAAAGCAUGGGGAGCGAACAGGG
rnacentral:rRNA from 1 species